CAUGCCUGUUCCUACAAGGAUCAUGGAAGGAAGCACCCUUCUGAUGUCCUCUGCAAUUCCUCCAGAUGACCUCCCUCCCUUAUUACUUCCAAGAUCUCUUAGGAUAUCACUUAUCGCGGUGGCACGUGUGUGAUUCCCUACAUUUUACAGUGUUUAUACCACCAGCAGACUCCCGAUGCAUCAGGCACUAAAGCAAACUCUCCCAAGGGUGACCUGCUUCAUACAGCUGCAGUUGGAUGAAGAUUAUGAAUGUUUUCUUUCAAGAUUAUCUCUAUGAAACUUUUCCCUCCCCUGUUUCUCUAUAAGAAUCUCUGAUACUUCAUCGUAUGUAUGGGGCUAUAUGUCUGAGAGAAAUAAUAUUUUCCAUUCAGUAGCAAAAUAUCCUUCAAAAGGAUACUUAAGAGUUUUAUAACACAUGCUCCCAAGAGAGAUGGUAAAAGUAGUUCCAUUUACAUCCUUGUCCACAAUGGUCUAACAAUUCAACCUGUUGGAUUGAGCACUCACACGUGUUCUCUCUCUCUCU